GAUCCUGGCUCAGAUUGAACGCUGGCGGCAGGCCUAACACAUGCAAGUCGAACGGUAACAGGAAGAAGCUUGCUUCUUUGCUGACGAGUGGCGGGCGGGUGAGCAAUGUCUGGGAAACUGCCUGAUGGAGGGGGAUAACUACUGGAAACGGUAGCUAAUACCGCAUAACGUCGCAAGACCAAAGAGGGGGACCUUCGGGCCUCUUGCCAUCGGAUGUGCCCAGAUGGGAUUAGCUUGUUGGUGGGGG
rnacentral:rRNA from 1 species